AGUAACGCGUGAGGAACCUGCCUCAAAGAGGGGGACGACAGUUGGAAACGACUGCUAAUACCGCAUAAGCCCACAGCUCGGCAUCGAGCAGAGGGAAAAGGAGUGAUCCGCUUUGAGAUGGCCUCGCGUCCGAUUAGCUAGUUGGUGAGGUAAUGGCCCACCAAGGCGACGAUCGGUAGCCGGACUGGGAGGUUGAACGGCCACAUUGGGACUGAGACACGGCCCAG
rnacentral:rRNA from 1 species